rnacentral:lncRNA from 1 species
GUAGCCGUCGAUGUCAAACUCCGAGGUUACUUCUCUUGGAAGUAGAAGUGGUGUUGGAGGAUGUAGCCUCCAUGUUUCUUUGAUCACCAUUUUCAGGUAUUUGAGCUGAUCUGUGUCAUCGAAGCUGAUUCUUUCUUUGUUCUUGAUUUGGCUUCUGAUUUCGGUUUGAAGUUUCUUCAUCACUCUAGGGUUUCUAGCAAGUUCUGACAUUGCCCAUGUCAUUGUAAUUGCAGAUGUGUCGAUUCCUCCUAGAAGAAUGUUCUUUUUACAAAGAAUAUUAAAAAACAUGUAAGAAUCUCAUACAGUAUAUUAAUUUUUAAUUUGCGAUGCUCUUAAACCUUUCUCAAACAGCGACCAGAUUACCUACCACUUUACCAGGUCAGUGGAUCAACCACAGACUAAUAUGUUGAUAAAAGAUUUUAUAUAGUAUUAGUAUAUAACUAAAUUUUUUAAUUUAUUAUGAAAAUGGCGCUUAAUAAUAGUAGUGUGAUUGAAUAUUUUAAAUUCAAAUUAAAUAAAAAUAAAAAUAGAUAACCGUUAAAUAUUAGUAAAUUAUAUAUGAUAAAAAAUAAACUAAAAAUGUAUCACGUUAGUUGAUUUUGGUAAUUUUAUAACAAUUCCACUUAUUUUCUUCAAAGAAUACAUAGUAUACAUAAACAGAGGCUAAAAAUCACAAAUAACAUAUUUUAUUCAAUAUAUAAAAUACAAUUAAACAAAAUGAUAAAGUUUAAUUAAUAUUUUAAAGAAUUUUAAUUAUGAAUCAUUCAAUCAACAAUUAAUGCACGUUUUACUGAGUUUACUUUAAUUUACUGGGUUUUUGGCUAACAUGUUUUAGACUGGGUUAGUGACUAUGUGUUUAUAUGUGACCAUGCUUACAAGUCCCGCCGCAGAUCCGGGUUGGAUUUAAUAACAUUAACCAUAGAUUGCAAAUACUACUAAUAGAAUCUCAAUUCAUUUUUAGAUAUAUCAUAUAUUACAGAAAAUUUGUUUCUUUAGUACCAAAAUUAUCAAUUAAAAACCUAGCUAAUUCAAUAUAUGGUUGUCAUGAAAAUAUAUGGUGUACAAAUAUCAUAAAUUAUAAAUUAAACAAAAUAUUAAUAUAAUCUAGUUAAUAUGGGCAUAUGGUUAAUUUCAAACUAAUCUCUUAUUUUUAUUAUUUUCAAAUGAUUUUGAUGUAAUUAUGUAAAUUUUAGAAAAGAAUAUUUAAAUUUAAAACUUGGAACUUAAAUUUUAGAUUGAUAUAUGUGUGUAUAUAUAUUAAUUUGUUGAUUAAAUAAUAAAAGUAUAAAAUAUCAAAACACUAGUUUAUAAAGACUUUGUUGUAUUCUUAUAGCGUACCAUCAAGAUUGCUUUGAUAUGAUUUCUUGUGAGGUUGUCAGUUCCAACAACAGUUCCUUCCUUCUCAAACCUCAAGAGCAUGUCCACAAAAUCUUCACGCCCUUGUCUAUCUCCCUCUUUAUGCAGAUCAAACAACUGUUCAUAGAACGCAUCCAAAUCUCGCACGCUUUUCUCUCUCAUCUUUUGUAAACCCGUGAACUGGUCGAUGAUCCAACCAACGUGCG